UGACGGUACCUGACUAAGAAGCUCCGGCUAAAUACGUGCCAGCAGCCGCGGUAAUACGUAUGGAGCAAGCGUUAUCCGGAUUUACUGGGUGUAAAGGGUGCGUAGGUGGCAUGGUAAGUCAGAUGUGAAAUACCGGGGCUCAACCCCGGAGCUGCAUUUGAAACUGUAGUUCUUGAGUGUUGGAGAGGCUAACGGAACUCCUAGUGUAGCGGUGAAAUGCGUAGAUAUUAGGAAGAACACCAGUGGCGAAGGCGGUUAGCUGGACAAUAACUGACGCUGAGGCGCGAAAGCGUGGGUAGCAAACAGGAUUAGAUACCCUG
rnacentral:rRNA from 1 species